rnacentral:rRNA from 1 species
UCGGGAAUUUUGGGCAAUGGGCGAAAGCCUGACCCAGCAACGCCGCGUGAGGGAUGAAGUAUUUCGGUAUGUAAACCUCGAAAGAAUGGGAAGAAUAAAUGACGGUACCAUUUAUAAGCUCCGGCUAACUACGUGCCAGCAGCCGCGGUAAUACGUAGGGAGCAAGCGUUGUUCGGAUUUACUGGGCGUAAAGGGCGCGUAGGCGGCUCGGUAAGUCACUUGUGAAAUCUCUGAGCUUAACUCAGAACGGCCAAGUGAUACUGCUGUGCUAGAGUGCGGAAGAGGCAACCGGAAUUCUUGGUGUAGCGGUGAAAUGCGUAGAUAUCAAGAGGAACACCUGAGGCGAAGGCGGGUUGCUGGGCCGACACUGACGCUGAUGCGCGAAAGCCAGGGGAGCAAACG